GCCACUGGUGUUGGUGGCCUCGGGGGAGGAGCGGACGAGGUGGACUUGCUGGUGUGAUGGUGGUGUCAAGGUGGGAGAAGAAGAGGGCGAUGAAUUUGAAGAAGGAUGCAGAGGAGGAGGAGGACAACCUCUUCGAUCCAGCGAUCACCGUGAGUCUUGCUAUCGGCAUGACGUGCCAGAACUGCUUCCGCGAUGUGAUUCCACCACUACCGCGUCUUCUCCAGGUAAAUGAUGUUAACAAUCCUCCCACGGACAACCAAUUGAGUAAAUUCUUUCUUAUUUCCUUAUGUAGUUGUAAGAGAAAAUAGAAUGGAAAAUAAUAUCAAAAAACUGCAGUGAAGCAAAUGGUGCAUCAGCUCAUUCAGAUUAUGGCAGCACAUGGCACUCCUGGCAUAUGGUACGCUGUAAUUUAAUUCUUCAAUUCAGUUUCGUGACUUCUGUUUUCUUCUGCAGUUAAUCACUCAGUUAAUUGGCUGAGCAAGGGACUAUGUGCUCACCAUUUGCCACUUAACAAAUAAUAAAUCUUGUUUUAGAAAAAUACAAACAGCGAUAUGAUUGUUUUUUUUUUUGCAUCUAUAAGUAUGGGUUGGAUUCUUGCAAUGUUGUGAGAGAAGAUAUGCAGGGAGAAGGAUAGUCAUCCCAGCUCUGGGAAGAUGUUUAUCAUGCUGAUGGGUAAAUACCUCUAUCAUAAACAACAACUAUUAUAUUUUAGAAGAUAAUUCUAUAUCUGCGUGUUGGUUUUGUUCUAUAUCAACCUGCUUGACCGCUAUUUUGCGUGUGUUUUACAUUUACACGACGCCCUUAUGCCCGCAGUAGCAGCUAUUUCAAAAUCAAAAGUAGUAAUCGUUAUGAGUUACUCAAUGUGGCUAAAUAUGGUUGGAUUCGGCUUGUGAGAAUAUACCAGGGUAAUUUUAGGUCAUGUGAGAAUAUACCAGGGUGCUCCAAAUUCCACCUGGAUUUUUCUCUUGGAUUAUGAUGUCUCAUGAAAUUCUUUCAUAGUUCAUCUAUACAAAAACCUUGUGUAUGAAGUUCGAUUGAUAAUUUGAUAUGCACUUUUCUCUAAUUUCCAGUUCUACAAUUCAGUAUGUUUUCGCAGUUGGCAAAGAGCGUACUUUAUUAAAGAUUUUCUUUUCGUUCCUGAACUUCGUUUAGUCCAAGCUUGGGCGCUGCUAUGCUGCUUCGCUCCUUCCUCCCUGACACCUCAUUGUCCCUAUUUUCAUCCUCUUUUCAGGAAUGUCUACUAGACUGCUUUAAUUCUAUGCUGAAAUGCUCCUACCUCCUAAUGAAUUGAAAGAAACACAUGCAGGACAAUGGGAGAAAUCUCUACAGAUCUGUGUCGAUGUUUGCACUGCAGUUGGAGCCAUAUUUUUUAUCCUGGAAAACACUAUUGUUACUAUGACUGAGCAACAGACCAAGCUAAAGUACAUCCAAGAGAUCAAUAGAUAAUUAACUCAAGAAGAAGAAAAGAUCAAUAGAUCAAGUAGCAUCGCUUGCUUUCUUAGUCCUCCCAAUAAAAACAGUUCAGUAAGGUUAGGUAUGACUUCUAUUCACCUUCCUCAGCCUGUUUUGGUUUUCACAUGCUUUUUGAUCAGUGGUGAAAUUUUAUAGGGAACAAAGAAAACACCUACAUAUUUGCUAGCAAAUCAUGCUAAUUUAUUACUUUAUAUAUGAUUGUGGUUCUCCUAAUGGUGGAUGACUAAACGUAUUUACAAGAAUAAUAAGGCUAAUGUUGAAUGGCUAAACCAAUUUACUCAGUGGCUUAGGGGAAAUUGCUACUCUGCUUAAGUUAAUUUAUGAUGAUGCCUUGUGAACAUCGUUCUCUCUCAGUUAGUUGACAUAAAGGGAAUUUUAACGGAGUUGGUUCAGGUUUUGCUUGAUGAGACUGUGAUAAGAUGCUCAUUGUACUUGAUUUUUUUCACCAGGCUUAUCGGGAAGAAGCACUACUCGGAUGAGUUUGUCGUGGGUGGGUAUAAAUGGUGAGCCCUUGGCUUCUUCACUUAUCAGACUAGCAGGUGUAGGAUGUUUUUACAAUGUUUUAUCUAUGUAACUUCCAUGUCUUUGAUGCAAACAUGGGGGCUGCUUCUCCUUGGCCUGGAAGAAGGCUCUUCUCCUCUUCCACGGUUAGUCAGUAUCAAAUCCGCGUGGCCAUCUUGUUUCCACUACUGCAUAUGGGAUGAUUGACAUGUUGUACUCCAUUGACUAAAAUAGACCAGGUAGUUUCAGUUCAAGUUAUUCAGUUAGCCAAGGUAGUUUUAGCCAAACUCAGAGGUAUCUAUGCUUCGCCCUGCUCAUGCUUAAUGUCAUAUGGUUUACACUUUACACCCAUCUAAGAUGUGGGUGCUAAUUGCUACUUGUACUCAUGAAGUAGGAUUAGUUCUUUCAUUCUGAUUUAGAGUAGGGUAGAGUGGAUUUAGGUUUCCACUAUUAAUUUUUUCUGUGAUGUUCGAAUUUUUGUGUAUCUUGGGAAUGUAUUAGUCUUUGUUUGCUGCAUUGCAAACAGUGGUUGUUGAACAUGUUUGGCUCUAUAGCUAGCAGGGACAAAUUAAUUAUUAAGCGAUACUAUGGCUGGUUGUUGUUUGAUGUUUGUUUUAUGUUGUUCUGUAGCCAGUUAGGCGUGAAGUUAGUGAAUCUGGAAGUGCUUUGAAUCUGGAAGUACUUUAGCGGUUGAUGCUCAAUCCAUGGUUAAACAUGUUCUACUAGCAAAGAGUAAUUGAGGAUAAGCCAAAGGAAUCAUUCCCGGAGCAUGAUACUCAAAUGUCAAGCAUUAGAUGGCACCUUUCUGAAGGUUAGAACCAUUUCAAUACAAUGACUACUUAGUCAACUGGGGUACAAAUAUGAAUCAGUCGCAAGAUCAAAUUGGCAAGUUACAGGUGAGUGAGACAGAACUUUUGCUAGCUUGCCAAAUGCACUUUCUGCUUAUUCGUGUGCAUGUCCUUUUAGAGCAUAAUGAGAAUCAUGUUCUGUUUUUCUUCAUUUCUUGAUUGCAAUAGAGUUGUCUGAUAUCCUCUCGUGGUCAGCGAGAAAUUGUCCAUCUCCUAAGCGCCGCUAGACCUUUUUUUGCUCCUGAUCCACCUAUGCUGGAAGAGUACUGAUAUUGAGAAACUAAAGUCUACAAUCCUACGAAGUUUGUUUGGGAAGUAUAGGGAAGCCUUUAAUCUAUGAGAUACUAGAGAAGCCAGCCAGUAGCAGCGUUAUAUGCUUUUCUAAGAUAGCUCUCAUUUAUUUUCCGGAUGCAUGUUCUCAGGUUAUGUAUGUUUCUGUUUUGGUCCUUCCUCUUCACUUCUGUCAAAGGUAAAUUAAGAAACUUAUUCUGUUUUAGCUGUUGCAUCUUUGAUGAAAAAUAGAACCCCUUUUAGCUUGUCUAUAAUGUUUGCGUGUGUGCUUAAAUUUUCUACCAUCUGUGAGGUAUCCUGUAAUUUUCAUAUACAACUACAAAUUACAGAUGAACUUUCUUUGUAUUCCCCAACUAAGGUUCCAGUUCAUUGCACUGUUGACAUACAUUGUUAAUAUUAGUUUAUACUUUUAAUAGCUACCCGAUUGUAGUUAUUUAUAUUGUCUUGAAGAUGAACCUUCUAUUAUCCAGAAACUUACGCUGGCUGAUAAAGAACCAUUCACGGUUCAGUUUGAAUUUCCAACACUUUCAAAGGAAAAUUGAUUAUAUGUACAUACUACAUAAUCUGGGAACCUUUUUAAUAUUCAGCUGAUAGUUUAUUAAUUAUCUUUCAUCCUGAACAAAUGCAUUAUUUCUAUAUCAUCAAUAUGGAUCAACAACGGUAUAUAUAUCAUCAUACUAAUUUCUUUAAUUUGUUGUGAACUCUCAUGAUAUUUAAAGUCACAAAUAGGAGGACUUCAUUGGAGAAAAGAAAGUUUGGUGGGAAAGAGAAUAGAGGAGUGAGAUGUCACGGGAGCACCAAUAUAAAGCCGUGAGCUUCUCAUUACCUAAUAGUUAGAUGACUUGA